rnacentral:rRNA from 1 species
UACAGAGGGUGCAAGCGUUGUUCGGAAUUACUGGGCGUAAAGCGUGCGCAGGCGGUUGGGUGAGUCGCUGGUGAAAGCCCCACGCUCAACGUGGGAAUGGCCAACGAGACGGCCCGACUGGAGGCAGGGAGAGGCCGGUGGAAUUCCGGGUGUAGUGGUGAAAUGCGUAGAGAUCCGGAGGAACACCAGAGGCGAAGGCGGCCGGCUGGACCUGACCUGACGCUGAGGCACGAAGGCGUGGGGAGCGAACGGG